GUGAAGUUAGAAGAGGCGGCGGUUACGAUACCAGUCAUCUUCUUGCUUUGCAAUUCCAGCGUUUUCUCUGUGAUUUUAGUGAUCUUCUUGCAAUUCCAGUCAUCAAUAUGGAGAACGAUUUGAUUGUGCGCUGUCCUAAUUGCGGCGAUGAGGUGCAGAAUCUUUUAAAACACUUGAUCGAAGAGCACGAUUUGAAAAUGUGCAAUGCAUGUGAGAAGCCAUUGGAGGAGAAGAGAUGCUACCUGUGGACCAAAGAUGGCGGAGGUCUGAAAGCCCAUUGGAGUUCCAAGCACAGAGCUGACUUCACUUUCUGCAAAAUCAACAAGUGCGUGCUUCCUAUGACUCCCGCCGGGGAGACUCAUACGUGCGAAUACAAAUGAUUCGGUUAUUCAAAGUUUCAAUAUGGUGGAUGUAUUGAUCUGGAUUCUUUGUAAGCAGUAAAGAUACGAGAAAUUCAUCCAGUGGAGGAACACAUGCAGUAGAUGAUUGAUUGGCAUUUUCACAAGCUCCUGCUAAAGCUGCCCAAAGUCCAAGAGAUCUGCUUUGUAAUUGUCAAAUUGCAUCAAGUCAGAAGGUAUGUUUUCAUGAAUCUACUAUUGAACCAAAAGACAUCUUUUGCCCAAUAUUGUGGCAAUUCCUCACAAGUGUACUCUUGCUAGAUAUUUAGGAAUUCAGAAUAUAGAUGGUCUGACAGGUCUGAUACUCAAGGUUUACUAAACAAAAUGUAGAAAAAGUUUAUCAAGCCACAAAUCUAAGCUAUUGUCAAAAAUUCAACUAAUUCAACUAUGUCUAAUCACGUUCAGUAUACAUGUCUUUCUGCUAAAAUUGUCUUCAUCAGAUUAAUAAGAUGAUUAGAGAUCUUUUGGGGGGGUAACUGUUAGUUGCUUGGUCUUCUCAUUGUAAAAACAAGAAAAUAUGGGGUUUACGUGUUAGGAAUCCAGCAUUAUAAUCAAGCUUCAAUCUAAAUUAGGAUGGCACAUGUCAACCUACUCUCAUAAUGUGUGGGUCAAUAUUAUGACAGAAAGAUAGUUAAAGAACCAUUCCUUUUUUGAGGUGACUGAAAAAGUGGGGAACUCAGUAGUUGGAAAGCAAUAUUAAGAGCCGGACAUAUAAAGCAUUAGAUAUAUCAUAGGUAAUGGCCGGCAAGUUCAGUUUUAGAAUCACAAUGUUAACCUGCCCUUGGAGGCUUCUUUUAGAUCUGUUCAUCUUUCUGAAAGGUAUCUGCUUACAUUUUGCAUCAUACUAGGAAUCUGCCAAAACUGAAUGCACUUCUGCCAUAGUUCAGUCUAUUGUUGGUAUUAAUAUUCCUUUAGCAGAUAUGUAGGAUCAAUUUGUUUGGACCCUUCCCUGUAGUGGUAAGCUCAAUGCUAAAGCUGCAACUCAUGCGCAAUUAUUCAAUAAUUAUUCAUCUCAUUUAUCAAAAGUAUGGAAAGAAAAAUUACCACCAAAAGUUCAAUUGUUUGCUUGGCACUUUUACCAAAGUAGACUUUCUGCAAGGGAAAAGCUUUCAAGAUUCUCUAACUUACCAGAUGCUUGUCCUAUCAAUGUUGAAUCAUAACAUCAUCUUAUGGGACUGUUCUUAUGCUCAACAAGUUUGGGAAAGUUUGGCAAUUUUAUUCCACUUAUUCUUCCCUACUAAUUGUCAUAUUGUGCAGUGGCUACAGCAGUGGAAUUCUAAUUAUGCAUUUCUAAUUGAGAGAUAUAUUACUGUUUGUCUGUGAACUGUGGCGUUUGGAAUCAGAGGAAUCAAUUGGUUUUUAAUCUGUCAACCAAAAGAAAUAUUUGUUAUUAAUCAUAUAGCUCCUACUGUGUCUCAAGCCCGUUUUUAUAUUUUAUAUUUUAAAUUUCUUAUGAGAUUUCGGUUAAAAAAGUAAUGUUGUUAUGAAUAAAAUCAGGCACAGACAUAAACAACCUAGUGGGUGGUCAGCUCCUGCUGAGAAUUUUUAUAAGCUUAAUUUUGAUGGAUCAGUGUUGCCAUUCGUCAAGCUUCUGUUGGCAGUAAUAUAUAUGUCUGGUGAAGUUGUUGUUGUUGCAGGUUCAGCUUCUUUCGGUAAUAUUUCAGUAGUAGUUCAAGCAGAAUUUACAACUCUUAAAUUAGGUCUUAUACAAGCUGUCAGACUCAAUUCAGAUGUUGCAAGGGAAGGUGAGUUUGAAUGCUCAUCAAUGUGAUUCACAAGAAAGCUCAAGUUCCAUGGAGGAUAUACACUAUCUACAGACAUUUAGCAGCUCUCUUUCCCAAUUCCCCAAAUUAAUUUUGCUCAUACUUUUGUGAGGCUAACACACUAGCUUGCCGACACAUUUGCAACUUUGGAUCACACAUGUGAUCAUUCUUGGGUUUCUACAUUUUCUAAUGAGGUGUUGUUUGAUUAUCGAAGAUCCAUGUGGAUCGUCUUUGUAAUGCUGUUUUGACAUAAAAAGAAAAGAAAAGAUGCAUACAAAAUUUUGUCACCUGUUUAAUGAUUAUUUGCAGUUGAAAUCA